rnacentral:rRNA from 1 species
AUCGAACGCUGGCGGCAGGCCUAACACAUGCAAGUCGAGCGGAUGAAGGGAGCUUGCUCCUGGAUUCAGCGGCGGACGGGUGAGUAAUGCCUAGGAAUCUGCCUGGUAGUGGGGGAUAACGUCCGGAAACGGGCGCUAAUACCGCAUACGUCCUGAGGGAGAAAGUGGGGGAUCUUCGGACCUCACGCUAUCAGAUGAGCCUAGGUCGGAUUAGCUAGUUGGUGGGGUAAAGGCCUACCAAGGCGACGAUCCGUAACUGGUCUGAGAGGAUGAUCAGUCACACUGGAACUGAGACACGGUCCAGACUCCUACGGGAGGCAGCAGUGGGGAAUAUUGGACGAUGGGCGAGAGCCUGAUCCAGCCAUGCCGCGUGUGUGAAGAAGGUCUUCGGAUUGUAAAGCACUUUAAGUUGGGAGGAAGGGCAGUAAGUUAAUACCUUGCUGUUUUGACGUUACCAACAGAAUAAGCACCGGCUAACUUCGUG